AGACGAUCUUCAAGCGGCUGUUCAGGGUGUAUGCGCACAUAUACCACUCGCAUUUCCAGAUGAUUCUCAAGCUCCAGGAAGAAGCACAUCUCAACACCUGCUUCAAGCACUUCAUGCUCUUCACAUGGGUAACUAAGUACCCUCCAUAACUUCAUGACACAAAGUUGCAUUCGUCAGCAAUUGCUGGAAUAAUAACUGUCUUGUGCCAUAUACUUUCGAGGGAAUUGAUAGAAGAUAAUAAGUGUCCUCUUGGCAAAGAAUUACUCCCUCCGUUCACAAGAUGUUCUAGUUUUUUGUGAAUCGGAUGUAUAUAGACACGCUUUGGAUUCAUUUCAGUCUGUAUGUAGUCCAUAUUGAAAUAUCCAAAACAUCUCAUAUUUGUGAACCGAGGGAGUAGAAGAGAAGCCAUACAGUACUCAAAAGUCAAAACCAAGUAAAGUAGCUGUAAAUUAGAACCACAUCAUACACUAGUUUUGCAGCAUGGAUGAUGCUAAGUUAUGCAUGGCAGUACUUCUUUUUUCUCGAAUACGCACGAGUGUGCGUACUAUAUAUUAAAGGGGGGGAAACAAGGGGGAAGAGCCCCUCCACGUUGGAGUUACAAAUAUGCGAAACUCCACCGAGACACACGCUAAUCUACCUACUCGCGUUAGCCCACGCCGAUAAUGCAUGGCAGUACUUCAGCAGUUCAGCUUUCCAGUAUGGCUGCCUUUAGUACCAACCUUUCCUAUUAUGGAAUGCAAAAGAAGGGAGUUUCCUUGUAGUCUGGUUCGAUGAUUCUAAAUUAUAAUAUCCAAUCUUUUGAUUCAGAUUAUUUAAUUCUUUAGAAAGUUGUGAUCAAUCAUUAUGCACACAAAGGAAUCCUGCCUAUUCUUAAGAAGCACUGCACACCGCAAACAUUAGCGGCUAGUUAUGAUGGUUUGCUGAUUGCUCUAUCGACUAGAAUUUGUCAAUUUAUAUUGCCUCCUCAUGAUUAGUAUUAUUAUUAUUUCAGCCGCAUACCACUUUGCAUCUCUUGAGUCUCAAACAAAUUUGUCUCUAAUCGAGUGCUUCAUAUGGUCCGAUCAUUACAAUUACUUAUUGUUGGCCUUAUUUGUUUGGCAGGAAUUUCAGUUAAUCGAUAGGGCAGAGCUAGCUCCUCUCAGGGAGCUGAUCGAGCCCAUAUUAGUUGGACACUAGCCGAGAAGACAAUUGUAGCUUUGUUUCAAGAACUGAUGAUGCAAAAGUGCAGAGACUUCAUUUUUUGUUGCUUUUUAAGUUAGUUAGUUUCUCUAGCUUGUGCAUGCACGCAAUUGUGUUUCUGUUUUUGUGCGGAUGUUAGACUUGGAUAUGGGCUACCUUCAUCUACAUUUUAGAGAUAGGUUAGCUAGUGCUCGUGUAUGUACUCAGACUCCCCCAAGUAGGUGUUGAUUACAUCAUGGCAAUUUGUUCAUUUCGACAGACUGUCAUUUGAUCCGGGGAAUUUCUCUUGGUUGGGUUAUGCGCGAUAGCCAAAUUUAUCGUUUCCUAAAAAUUCUGAGAAAGAAAAGGGUUAUCAGGGUGGCACCCCCGAAGCAGGAACAUUGAAGCACUUUCAAGAAUCAUGGGAUAAUCCAAUAACAUUUCCUGUGUUUGGAAAUGAAAAAUUCAUUGCAAACUCAAUAAGUAAGCAAUUGUUUUGUUGAUGUAAGUUUUUUUAAACCCAAACCACCAAACUUUUUUGGUUUACAAUGUUCUUCCGAGCAAUUAGACACUGGGCAGCAGUACACAUGUGUCCUCUACAACCUACAUGGCAAAAGCCGUAUUUUUGAGUGUUUGACAAAAAACUACCAGUUUAGGGGUUCGCGUCCCACAGAACUACCACUUUUGAAAACUACCAAAAAAACGUAAUCACGUGACUAAAAACUACCAAGUUGACUGAAUGGUGGUUUUGACCGUUUUAACCGUGAUUCUGACGUGAGUGGCCCACGUGCCAGGCUGACGGCCCGCCUAACGGCUAACGGCGCGCGCACGGGGCCGUUAGAGCUCGCACCUGGUCGGACCAGGUCAUAACCUGGCCGACCGGGCCGCUCGUCCCCACCAGCUCUCUCACUCUCCCCCGAGCUCACUCCACUCCUCUCUGCUCUCCUCUGCUUCUGUUUCUUCUUCUCGCACUCCGGCAACGCCGCGAACAUGUCGUCGUGGCCGAAUAGCAACGAGACGUCGGACGACGAUGACGAGUACAUGAGCGAGUUCAACAGCAUGCAGAUGGAGUACUUUGUAAGUCAGCUCAGUCUAUCCUCUCCCUCUUCUGUCUGUUCUGUUCUAGGGUUAGGGUUAGGGUUUGAAGAUAUUUGAGAUUUUUCCAUUUAAGUUGAUAUAUGUGAGUUGUUGUUGAUAUAGAUAUGCUUUUGCUGUUGCAGCAAACUCCUGACACUGUGAUAGACCCUAGUUUCUGUGGGCUUGUGACUGAAUCUGACAGAAGGUGCAUCCUGCACAGGCAGAGGCCGGGCAAGUUCGUGGCAUUUGAAGGCACUGACACUGGCAGGAGAUUCAUAGGAUGUGCUACUGAGGUAAUGGACCAAGUUGGUGUGGAUUUGAUUAGCUUGAAUUUCUGCUAUGUAGUGGAAACAGAGUGUUUAGUUGCUGUUUUUCUAAAUUUUCCUUAAGUCUGAAAACAUUGGUAUGUCUGAAUACUGUACUUGUAAUAAGAGCACUGGAAACAUAUGAAACAUAUUGAUGUAUUGUAUUUUUAGUAUAUAACUAACUAGCUCGUGUAGCUAUUUAUAUUAUUAUUGUUUAUGAUUUUUUAUUCUGAAUUUACUUGUUAACUGUGGUGUUCACUGUAAAUUUAUAUUGAUUUUCAGGAUGGUGUGAACUGUGGUGUUCUGGAGUGGGUAGAUGCCCCCUGUCCUGUAAUUCUGCAAAGGUGCUUAAGCAAGCUCUGGGAUAUGUAUCAUGAGCAGAACCUUGGUAGAGCCCAGGAUAAUGAGGCUCAUGGGAUAGAGGUUGCAAAACUGCAGAAGGAGCUUGACUCUCUGGCCAAUCAGUAUAGCCAGCUGGUGGAUGAUGUGUCCAAGUUAUUUGAUUAUCAGGAUGGAGUCAAAUCUCAUGACAUGGACUGCACAAGCCAGGCAAUCAAUGAACUGAAGGAGAAGAAGAAGCAACUUGAGGAGCAGGCAAAGAUUGAGCUUCAAAUGGAGAAGCUUAAGCUCAAGAAAGAACAAAGGUGCAUCCUUCAGAGUCAAGCUGAUAUAAUGCAAAACACAAGGAAGGCCAUGAAGGAGCUAGAGGUGGAGAAAGACCUCCUUAAAGAAGAGAAGAAGCUAGAGAAUGUCAUUGCUGAGCUCCUGAAGGUUGGUCAUGGGUGCAAGGAAAAGCUGGACAAGAUAAAGGAAGUUGUGAUGGAGGAGUGAAGUGGAAGCUCUGGAUGGUCAGUAUAUAUGAGGCCUAUAUAUAUAAUUGGCCUAGGAAUGAUCAGUCUGAUGCAAAUAUGCCCUGAUCUACCUAUGAACUACCUUUGAACUACCUAAGAACUGUAAUGGGUUCAGAUCAUUUUGGUUGGUGUGGGGGGUGCUGUUUGCCCUGAUCUAUACUGCCCAAAUAUUAUCCUGAUGCUGAGAAUUGGUGCUAAGUUAAGUUAAGAACUAAAUUAUCUAAGUCUGAUGCAGUUUAUUUCUGUGUGUUGUAUCAUAAGUUCUUGCUGAGAUCUGUUUACUUCAGAAAUUGCUUCAUCACAGGUUCAGACAAAUUCAGAGAAGUUUGGAAGACAUUUAGUCUCCCAUAGAUAGCAUUUAGUCUUACAUAGAUAGCACAUGGACACUGAAAUUGUUCAAAGACACUUAAACUGACAGAACUGAAUCUCACUGAGAUUGCAAACACCCUGAUAAAGUGACAGAACUAAACUGACAGAACUGAAUCUCACAUAGAUCUAGCGAUAACUGCUGUAACUGAAUCUGAAACUUACAGUUUCAGAUUGUUAGGCCCCUGCCUUGCUAUGCGACCUGACCGUCGCACCUCUUGCUUGACUUGAGUGGUAGGUGGCAGCUCUGGCACCUCCUCUUCGUCUCCAUCGAUGACGAUGAUGGGAGGAGGACGUCGGCGAGCCAGCAGUGGUGGUGGGGCGAUGAUCUGCAGGUCCUCGUUGUCGUUGCCCAUAGUAGUUGGAGCUGUAGCUUGUGCUGGAGGGAUAUAUUGGUGGGCUGCCCACCGUUCUCUCUGCCCAGCAUCGCCGGAGUCCGCCUCCUUCAUUGUCCACAGCAACAUGUCGAUGGGCAUGAUACCCUUACCUGGGGUUGCAUAGCGCUGGUCCAUGCGCUGCUUCUCCUUAGUCAUCGCCUUCUUCCUCACCUCUUCUGAUGCAUCCACGAGCCCUUCUGCGCUGCUGUAUCUCAUGGCAAUCUUCAUGUAGUCGAGGAAGAGGUCUUCGUCGCCGCGAGCCGACCCAAAAAAGCAUGGCAACCCAGCCCUUGCCGGUGGGGAAGGGGUUCAGCCAUGGGUCUGGCGUAGAGGAAGAACCAGCCAUGGAUGUAGGUAGAGUGAGGUUUUUGAGAGAGAGAUAGAGUGAGCAGAGAUAGAGUGAGUUGUUGGGCUACUUAAAUGUUGGAGUGGAGGAAGUGCGAUGGAGUGUGACAGUGGGGAAGUGGUAGAUUGAGUGAUGAGAAAUGGUGGUAGUUGUGCUGCAAUUAAAGUCUUUGUUGAAACCCAGCAGAUUGGAACUUGUGCUAAAACAGUGGAGUAGUUGUUGGUCAAAGUAUUUCAAAAAUUAGAGUGACCAAAAAAUCACAUUUCAGCAAAGCCCAAAUAUAGAAACAUUCAGAUAAAUGCAGAUAGAUGGAUUCAGGCAUAAGUUCAGACAUAAAAAUAUUGUGCCAUGGAUACAUUUCUUACAAAAUAAGCAUAGUCUUUAUCAUAGAUUUUUCAACAACCCAAACAUAGAUAGUUCAGAAAUAAGCAUAGUCUUUAACAUAUAUUUUUCAACAACCCAAACAUAGAUAGUUCAGAAAUAAGCAUAGUCUGUAACAUAGAUUCAGGCAGCCACAUUGCAUCGUCUUCAUCACGGUUGGUGCAUCUCCUGAACUGCAUCCUUCACUGCAAUCAUAAAAGUUCAGAAAGUUCAGAACAAGACAAGAUUCAAAACAAGACUAAGAACAAGAUUCAGGGCAAUAUUCAGCACAAGACAAGCAGAUUCAGAACACCACAAUUUAGUCAGAAACUACCGCGUUGAACUAAUCCCAAUCCUGUCUUCCUUCUGCUGCACCCAGGAUCUGAGUCCAUCUCUUCCUUGUUGCUUGGAAUCGAUGGAAAGAUGCCCUGUCUCUGGCCCACCAGAUGAUUAGUUCAUCUGUGAUGUUGGUUCCUUCUGGGAACAUCUCCUUGAACUGCUUCACGUCAUUCUGGUUGCGUUCCGCCAUAAUCAUGGCAGCAAUCCUCUGGCGUCGCUCCUGUGCCUGUGCUCGACGGUUGGCCCUCCUUUCAGCCCUAGCAACCUCGUCUUGUUCAUCAACUACCUCUCCUAACUGUGGAUCCAUCAGUGGCGGCUAGGUUUUGGUCAAGGGGAAUGAGGCGUAGGGAUCCAGUGGUUUCUGGUGGCCUCUCUUAUGUAGACAGUGUGGCAGGCUUGGUGGGUUAGUUAGGCCCAACACGGAAGCCCAUCAUCAGGCCCAUGUUACACGUCAAAUUGGAUAGAAGUACAGUCAGGUUCGGUCAGGUUCACACAAAUUCAGACAGACUCAUGCAGAAAAGUACAGACAGGUUCAAAACAAAGUGAAACAGGUUCUAAACUAAUUCAAACAGGUUCAAAGAGAGAAAUUCUACCUUUUUAUAGUGUCAGUUACCACUUGCAUAGAAAUAACCCUUUAAUUUGCUGCUUGCAAACCUCUUCCUUUUGGUACCAGCCAAAACAUCUGAAGUUGCAGCAACAGAUCUUGGUGCACUGAAUCCCUUGCCUCUCCCUCCACCUGCAGGCCUACCCCUUUUAGCUGUUGUAGUAGGAGCUGGUGCAGAUGCAGCAGGAGCUGGUGCUCUUGCAUGUGGUGCUGGUGCUGAUGCAGCAGGAGCUGGUGCUCUUGCAGUAGGGGCUGGUGCUCUUGGAGUUUGUACUGGAGCAGAUGGAGCAGGUGUAUAAACUGCCCUGUUUUCCUACAUUAAAGGUCCAACUUCACUUAGAUUAGACUAUGUAAAAGAAAACAUUGCUCUGAUGCUUGAUAAUUACCUGGUGUUUGUUUUUCCUCAUUUGCAGUUUAGGCCUAAGAGUCUUAUUGCAACUUGUAUACUUGUGUCCUUUCGACCCACAAUUUCCACAGGUGUAAGGGCAUAUUUAUCCCUAAGAUGUUUUGGUGAUUGAUGACAAUGCUUUUGCGGACUAAUCAUGUGCGUUGAGUGUUUUUCAGAGAUUCAUUCUUUUGGGCACGAGACGAUAUCCUCCCCUCGGAACUUAAAGCGAAGACGGUGUAGUCCUUUCGGAUUAGUUUGGUGGACUAGUUUCAUAGGGAUCACCGUACUAUCAAGAGGGGGUCCGUUUUGGAAAGGCUAGGGCGGAAUCAUCACGUACACUUCCUUUGCCCCUCCCUCCGAGCCUUUCCGUUUCGAUGAUGGGCUUGGAUUCUCCUUUCUUUGUGCCCUCUCUGGUCCCAGCGGUAGUACCGCGGGCCAGAGCGGUAGUACCGCUUGGGUGGUACAAGCGGUAGUACCGCUCCGGAGCGGUAGUACCGCCCAGAGCAGUAGUACCGCUAGUAGCUCCGUGUGUGUGCUAUCUCUGGUCCCAGCGGUAGUACCGCGGGACGGAGCGGUAGUACCGCUUGGGUGCCACAAGCGGUAGUACCGCUCUGGGCGCGGUAGUACCGCUCCAGAGCAGUAGUACCGCUGGUGGCCCCAAGCCGUAGUACCGCUCUGGUCUCGUGCUAGUACCGCCUCGAUUCGAGGGCUCAUUUUUCGUGUCGGGUUUUACGGUACUGGCCGCGGCUGUGGGGGGCCGUAGUACCGCUCCUGUGCGGUAGUACCGCCCUCCCUCCGCGGUAGUACCGCUGUGGACCAAGCGGUAGUACCGCGCUUUUGGGCGGUAGUACCGCUUAUUGUUGCAAGCGGUAGUACCGCUGGCACAGCGGUACUACCGCUCUCUUCGGGGCAGGGGGGGUAACGGUUGGUUUGUUCCCCCCCACUAUAUAAAGGGGUCUUCUUCCCCAAAGUUGACUUACCUCUUCCCCCAAAAGCUCCAUUGUUGCUCCAAGCUCCAUUUUCGCCCGAUCUCUCUCCCUAGCCAAUCAAACUUGUUGAUUUGCUCGGGAUUGGUUGAGAAGGCCACGAUCUACACUUCCACCAAGAGAAAUUUGAUUCCCCCCACUUAUCCCUAGCGGAUCUUGUUACUCUUGGGUGUUUGAGCACCCUAGACGGUUGAGGUCACCGCGAAGCCAUAGUCCAUUGUGGUGAAGCUUUGUGGUGUCGUUGGGAGCCUCCAAUUAAGUUGUGGAGAUUGCCCCAACCUUGUUUGUAAAGGUUCGGUCGCCGCCUUCAAGGGCACCAAUAGUGGAAUCACGGCAUCUCGCAUUGUGUGAGGGCGUGAGGAGAAUACGGUGGCCCUAGUGGCUUCUUGGGGAGCAUUGUGCCUCCACACCGCUCCAACGGAGACGUACUUCCCCUCAAAAGGAAGGAACUUCGGUAACACAUCCUCGUCUCCACCGGCUCCACUCUUGGUUAUCUUGUUCCUUUACUUUCGCUAGUUUACUUGUGUUAUUUCUCUUACUUGCUUGCGUGCUUGUUGUCGUUGCAUCAUAUAGGUUGCUCACUUAGUUGCAUAUCUAGACAACCUAUUUUGAUGCAAAGUUUAAUUUGGUAAAGAAAAGCUAAAAAUUGUUAGUUGCCUAUUCACCCCCCCCUCUAGUCAACUAUAUCGAUCCUUUCAACAGGUAAUUGUUCCCAUCCUACUGGUGUCUCUCAGGGCAGGAACUUCAAACUCUCCUUUCCUCCUUGCAGUCUGUUUUCUGCCUGCCUUUUCUUUGAACACAGGAGGUUCAAUGUCUGGAGUGUUUGUGUGAGGCCAGAAAUCUGGACCAGGAACAGGGUAUAUAAUUUCUUUGUAUGUCUCCAAAUAAAGUGGCUUCUUGAAAAAGUCAUUGACAUAGUCCUCAGGAUGCAGCUUUUGCUUUGUCAUUACAGAUAUGCCAUGACUACAAGGUACACCAGUCAUGUUCCAUCUCUUGCAGUCACAUGUAUACCCUUCCAUGUCCACACAAUACUGUUUUUCUUUGCUAGUAACUUGCCAAAUUGUUGGACCAGCUCUGUCAGCCUGGCAAUACUUGGCAUACUGCUUGUUCUCUUCUAAAAUCUCUGAGUAGGUUGGUGUGAUUGUCCACUUGCUAAUCUGUAACUUCUCCCUAGUUUGUUGCCUCUUGAUCAUUUGCUUGGUCCUAAUCCCUUCAAACAUUGUCCUUAUUGGUUUGGCCCUAACAUCCAGUAUCAUCUUGUUGAAGACUUCACUUAGAUUGUUCACAACUAAAUCUGUUUUGCAAGUAUGAUCCAUAGCAAACCUAGGCCAAGUAGAGACCUAAAUUUUUUUGAGCCAUUUCCAAGCAUCCUCAGACUGUGCUUUCAGCUCUGCCAUGCCUAGUUCAUGCCCAUGUUUAGUGUAGGAGUAGCUAGCCUUGUCAAUACACUUCUUUAGUUCCUGGCCUCUAAAUCCAGCAGAUUGAAAAUUUGCAUAUAUGUGCCUAAGACAAUACCUUUGAGGUGAAUCAGGGAAUACCUCAUUUAUUGCCUUAAGCAAGCCCUGUACAUUCACAAAUUAUUACUACAAUUGAAAAUAAUGAAAUAAUUAAAAAAGUAAUAACACUAAAUUGCUCAAUGAAAUUCUUCCCAACCUUUUGCCUGUCAGAUAUGAUAGUGUAUGUUCCAAAUUUGUUGCCACUGCCAAUGCAACAUCUCAAUUGAGUUAAAAACCAAUUCCAACUUUCACCAUCUUCCUUGUCAACCACACCAAAAGCUAUAGGAUAAAUAUUGUUGUUUCCAUCCCUUCCUGUGGCUGCAAGAAUUUGCUGCCCAGUGGUUAACUUGAUGAAGCAUCCAUCAAGACCUAUAAAUGGUCUGCAACCAUUAAGGAAACCUUCCUUUGAAGCUGCUAAACAGUAGAACAUAUACUUGAAUCUAGGAGUAGGUGCUGGGUUCUCUGGAUCUUCAAAUGUUGUUACUAUACACCUGCUACCUGGGUUUGUGUCAAGAACUGCUUGAAGAUAAUCCCUGAGCCUCAAGUACUGCUGCUUGUGGUCACCUUGAACUACAUCAACAACCUUCCUCCUUGCCCUAUAUGCCACACUUCUUGAUACAUCCACUGAAAACUUAGUCUUGGUCUUCUUAAUUAAUGCAUCCACAGGAGAUCUAAUGUCUUCUCUCAAUGCUGCCUCUACUGACCUUGACAUCCACUUAGUAGUAACCUUUGUGGACUCUGCACAUGCUCCACAAGUGUGCAACAUAUCACACUUCUUGAUGCAGAAUGUUUUUUCAUGAGCUAACUUAGAGGCACAUAUAUAAAAAUCACAUCCCUGGGCGGCUCUCUCUGAGCACCAAACAAUAAUCCUAUCUGGGGCAUUUCUGUGGUAUUGAAAAUUUCUCAAAGUCCUCAUGUGAAAAUCCCUAAGUGCAUCUCUGAACUCAUACAUAGUGGUGAAGCACAAGCCCUUACAGAACUAUUCUACUGGUCCUUGAAGUUUGUGAUCAUACCAUAUCCUGUCUUUCAACUUCUUAUUCCUUCUCUUCCUACCACUUGGUAGUUUAUAGGAUCCUUCAGGCUCAUCUUCUUCAUCACUGAUGCCAUAAUCACCAGGGAAACAUUUUUCAUCUGCUUCAGGGAACCAAUCUGCUUUCUCCAUUUUCUAAACCUCAUGGUGGGAUCUACUGGUUGGACCAGGUUUUCUCACUACCUUCAGUUUCUGUACCACUGCUGUAUCUUGUUUUGCAGCUUCAUCUUCAGAGGAAUACUCUGACUGAAAAUACAAAUUGUUCCCAUCUGAACCUGAAUUUGCAGCUUCAUCAUCAGAAACAAAUUCAGACACAUCAGUGUCACCUUUAAAAUGGUUAAGGCCAGCCUCUCUCUGCACCAUGCUUUUCUUCAGCUCUUCCUUUCUGUCCAUGCUUAUAUCCACCAACUUAGUGCAACUUUGUUGAGUGUUAAUGCAAUGUUCAGCAAAAUAACUAUCUCUGUUUUCAUGAUUUUCAUCUGCAUUACAUGCCUCAAGAGCUCCCACUACUCUUAUGUUCAGAAUCUUUUCAUUAUGAGAGUGUGACAACAUCUGCUGCACAUCAUCUUCAUAGCAUAUUUUAUCUAAAUCUUCUAAUCCUUUCUCAUCAUCAAAUACAUAGUACAUAUAAUCAUCAGCCACAAAGCCCUCACUCCCAAUAAGAGAAAGCAUUGUCAAAUAUGAUAUGUCUGACUGGUAUAAAUUUCGAACCACAGAUUCUCUGGCAUUGAAAUGGAACCAAAUUGACCACUUUGGGUCAUCAAUUCUGAAAAUUAUAAAAUGAAAAACCUUUAUUAACUGAAAACAUGAUAACUGAACCUAACUAGGCACAAUAUUGAGUUUCUGUCAAACUGCUUUUUUCAGUUUCUUACACAACAAAGUAUGCACAAUACUAACAAUUUGCAAGGUCACCAAAACUGAAUCUAACCAUGCAAAAAACUAGCCUAAUUUACUGAUUCUCUGAAUCUCUGACUCGCAAUCUAUGGUGGGAUCUACUGGAUGAGAUGUCGUACCUGCCGCCGCCCGUAGAACGAGGAAGCUUCCGCCGACCUUGAGCUCUGCUUCUUGUCGUCGACGGUGGUCGCGCCGGCGCCGACCAAUCCAACCUCUGCUGCGCGCCGCCCGCGGAAGGAUUAGAUUCGGACUGAGAAGGCUGCUGCGCCGCACUGCCGCCCGGAGGUAUGCCUGAAUCGCCGCCGGAGUUUGCAUCCAUAGCCGCCAUGGCUGGCGACGGCUAGGGCUAGGGAGGAGCUCGGGGGAGAGUGAGAGAGGGUGGGGAAUGGGGAGCCGGCCGGCCAGGUCUGACCUGGUCCAACCAGGUGCGACCGACGAGCGGCUCUAACGGCCCCGCGCGCGCGCCGUUAGCCGUUAGGCGGGCCGCCAGCCUGGCACGUGGGCCACUCACGUCAGAAUCACGGUUAAAACGGUCAAAACCAUCAUUCGGUCAACCUGGUAGUUUUUAGUCACGUGAUUACGUUUUUUUGGUAGUUUUCGGCCACUUUUAAAAAAGUGGUAGUUCUAUGGGACGCGAACCCCUAAACUGGUAGUUUUUUGUCAAACACUCUCUAUUUUUUGAGCAGUUUUUUGGGAUCCUAAAUACAGGCAUAAAGUAGGUGGCUAGAGAUCGAGGUGAGGACGAUGGAUAAUAAUAGGAUUAACAUGUCCUCUUUGGACAGAAGUUUAGCCUUCCACCCAAAAGAUAUUUAUGACAUUUUUCUAGGAUUGGUAGAAACUAGAAAGGCGUCCAGCCAUAGUCGAAUAGGCGAAAGUGGUAGUCCUAGCUAGAUAGAUUUGAGGGAAGGCCCACACGGGGCAGCCAAGAAUAUUAGCUAUUGAGCUUGCCUAGCCGGCAGGGAGAUGCAUAUGUACGAACGUUGUUUUACUGAAGUUCAUGGCUAAACCCGUAGCCCUGGCAAAGUCAUCUAGGAUAUCCUUUAGGGCGAUCGUAGGUGAAGCCUCUACAAUUAUGAGGGUGUCAUCAGCAUACUGAAGCGUAGUGGGUGGUAGGUAGAGGGAGAUUGGGUGGUGCAGAGAUAGAGGGUGUGGAUUUUGGCGGAUUAGUCAUUGUAGAAGGUCUGCAACGAUGAUGAAUAGAUAUGAUGAUAGCAGAUCCCCUUGUCGUAGACCAGUGUUUGCAGUUGAUCCAAUCCCCUGGUACUCCACUAAGUAAGAUUGUCGUUUUCCUAGUUGAAAGGACAUUAUUGAUCCAAGAGCAGAAUUGAGUAGGGAAACCUCUUGCGAGGAGGAUUGUGGAGAGAGAGAGAGAGAGUCAAAAACUUUAUAAAAGUCUGACUUUAGAAACAUAGUGUUUUUUUUAGAAUGACAUGAGUUGAUGAUGUCGCAGCAUAUACAAAAUUCUCCACAAUAUUCCUGUCAGAUAUAAAACCCGUUUGGUCACCAUGAACGAGUUGUGGGAUUAGAGGGUUAAGAUGAUUGGUUAGGACAUUGGCGACAACUUUAACUCAGCAGUUUGUCAAUUUGUGAAUUCACAGAAGAAAGGCCCAAUAAAGUAUUUUAAGAUGUGCCAGUACUUCCAAUAAAGCCACCCGGCCACAGUUUUGACAACCCCAUCAUCAUCUCAUAAGAAGAAGAAAAUUGCAAAUAGAAGAUGUCUCAACUGAAAACUGGUACAUUAUUGAUAAACAAACUGGCGCAUUGCUUAGCCUGUUUUUUCUAACUGUGCUAACCCUCUUUCAAUUUAAUCAAACGAAAAUACAACAGUUCUAGAGUUUAAAUAGGGGACGAGAAAGAAGGAAAAGUCAGUUCAACGUAGUGCCAGAAAUGCCACUUGCACCGAUAUUAGAACGUACACUAUGGGCGAAAAACCUGGACGGCACCGAAACAAAAGAAACCCAGCGGGUGCUGACCUGUUUAGUGAUCCAUCACAAUAUAAUAAUGGUUUGGCUAGCUGUUAGUUAGUGUGGCAAUUGAUUGAUAGAAAAAGAACAUUAGCGGGCUCUGACCUGUUUGUGUUCCAUCAUAAUAAUGGUUUACCUAGCUGUUUGGCAAUUGAUUGAUAAAAAAUUCGUUGUUACAGGUAAAGAGUACACUCUGGUUUCGUUUAUUCAGAAUUGGUAAUGUUCUCGUGCGGUUGGAGUAUCUUAUUUCCUCCUUUAAAUUUCUUCGUUUAGUUUUCUAUAUACUGCAUUUGAGUCAAGCUCGUGUGUAUACAUCUGCAGAGGACAAAAACAUGAUGCAAAAUAUACAGCCUGAUGAGUGAGGAAAACAGGUCCCAAUCAUUAGAAAGUGCAGACCUGAAGAUUAAGUAUAUGAGGCGAGGGUGCUGCACAUAAUGUAGUUUAUUACAUUUCUUUUAUAUUUGGAUUUCUUUGUUUAUGACUGAUGAACAAAGGCUGUUCAGUUGGUCCUCCCUUGAGACGACUUUGUCAUCUACUCCAUUUCUGCAAUAGUGGUUGCUGUAACCAUUUUAUAUAAUUUAAUAAAGAUAGUUGUGUGCAUCUAUUGAUGCAGAGGAUGGGGUUUCAACCUCCUUUAUAAAAAUAUAUACUCCCCUCUUCCCAAAAAAUAUAGUGCGUUUGAAUUUUUCUGGUCUUCAUUGCACAAGUUUAACUAUAAUUUUAACUUAUUGUAUGUCUACAAAAAUAAUGUACAAACAUAUAAAAAUGAAUUGUUUCACAUGACAAAUAUGAGAGCUAUUUGUACAUUUUCAAUCCAUGUAUUUUGGUAUAUAUUAAUGGUCAGAGAUCGCGUCAAAGGCCGUAUAAAGUCAAGUGCGACUUACAAUUUAAGGAUGGAGCAUUAAUUGAAAGCACCUUUUGAGCUCACAUGUCAACUUGAUUCAUAAGCUAGGUCUCUCCUAAUUCCCCGAUGUAAACAAAAAUCUCUCCUAAUCAAUCUAGAAGCCCAUAACGACUUAGGCUAGUCAUAGUGGGAGUAACUUAGGUAGUAAUAUGACACAUCCCAAGAAAAAUUUGCUUAUGUGGCAUGGAGUUAAUGAGGGGAGAGAUGCUUGUGGUAACAUAAUAUGUCACUGUAACAUAACACACCCCGGGGUAAAAUGAGUCUAUGUCUCAACUAAUGAGGCUUGUAUGUUACCAACCAUAUGUUACUACCCAUUAUGAAGGUAGUAACAUGGACUAGUAACAAAUGCAUGUUACUAGUCUAAGUUACUCCCCACUAUGACCAGCCUUAUACCUCUGUGCAGCCUUUACUUCAUUGACUCAUCCGCCCCGCCCCUGGCUUCAUUUUAUCCCAGGAAUGACAAUCCCCUCUUUCACCGUGGGGGCUUGUAGUCAGAUUGAUACUAUGGCAGCUCAUGUUCAUGUCGAUCAAUUCCACUUGGCUCGACCGCCAGCAUCAACUCCAAGAUGAAAAGCCUAUGUUCCUCUGCCCCGACAGCGAGCACCACAAGCUUCGCAGUUCAUGACAGUUUUCUUAGCUUUCGACCUGUGAAGGAGAUGUGCAGGUGAUUUCCAUUGCUACCAUUCUGAUUAUUUUUCUUUUCAUAGGAAAGGCCUAAUGACCUAGCUUUAUAGGAAGCUCGAGAUUCAGUUUAGUUGGGGAUAAAACCGUCAUAGAUCCGGUUCUUUUCUUAUUGUAUAGACCUGGCAUGUAUAUUGGGUUUGUGGCAAGUAUGCGGAGUUAUCUCUGCUGGAUUGUUUCUACCUUCCAACUUGUAUAGUUCCGUAAGCACUAUGAAGCUUGAGAUGGAUGACAUGGAUUCCUAAUGACUUACAUCAGUAAAAACAAGGGCAAUCAUGAAGUGUGCGUCUAUGUAAUUUGCAUGAGAUAGUUGAUCGCAGAGUCGAGGAAGCGAAUGUAAAGGCGAAAGGUGUGCAGCUGCGGCUGCCGGCUUCCGUGUACACAUAGAGGGGAAUAGGAAUAGGCAAUUCCUAUUUGGCACUUCAGGCGCCCAUUUGCAAACCCACCCCCCAUCCCGCGAGUUGGGCUGGCCCAAUUCACUUAUUUUUCUCUAUUUUAUAAACUGAGAAAAAGAGGGCACAAACUAUGAUUCGAACCCGCAACGUGUGUGUUAGGUGUAAGACGCAAUAACCACCCAGCCACCUAACCUUAUUGUGAUUACAUAGAUGUUUUGCGUCUUUUUUUCCUUUCCUUUCUUUUUUCCUUUUUUAUGUCCCUUUUUAUUAUUCUACUUUGUGAACUUUUUCUUCAAGGGAAACGCUCGAAAUCUACAGGCGGAUAUUUUCGUUUUGUCCACCACUUCCUCUGCACGACGCGUGUCUCAGUGGAGCCCACCACACCGCUAUCCUUGUCGCCGGCGUAUCCACACGUUUCUUCUGCGAGUCGUCUUCUCCAACAAGGGCCAUGUUACAUCAUCUUUUAUGCAAGAAAAAGUCUCUGCAACAUCACUCAUUUUGCAAAAGUCCUUCUGCAACAUCAUCUAUAUUCAGCAAUAGGUGACCAAGGCAUAUUCUUUCUAGCACUCAUAUCAUCCAUAAAUAAUUGAAACACAAGUUUAUGGUACUGAAUAACUUAACUUUGAAUUUCAGCUAAUUGCUCGGGAGAGAAAAUAUAACUUAUAGAGGUUUUAACAGGUUUGCCUUGUGGAGGAGGGUACACAAUUUCUUCAAUCAGGGUGACUGUUGCAUUGACGAUCCUUCUUGAUAUUUGCAAGAUACGCCUGUAAACUCCCCUCCUCAUGUUUCUUCUUAUAUACCUUGCAAGAUUUACUUUGUUCUUCUGAUAACACGUACUAGCCAAGUUGACUAUGCUAUCGGCCUUGAUUUCUUAAGGCUUUGGGAACUUGCUGUCAGACAUGAUGAACAACAUUAUCCCUCGAUCUUUUUUCUCUCAAACACCAAAAGUGUGUUUGCAAAUGAAGACAUCACAUGUCCUCCCACCGUCGAGGGCGAUACCUAGGACACAUGGCCAGAGAAGCCUUGUCACGAUAUGCAAGACAAGCCGAUGCGGUCUCUUGAUGCCGAAACCCCACACGCCUGAGAGGGGCCGUGUUAGAGAGUGUGGCGGCUAUUGGUUGUCCUAGGUCGGCCUGGUUGUGCCUAAAGCCUUGUAGUCAGCUGCAAUCGACGAUGAGGAACAAUAAGCUAAAAAACUAUGGUAAAGAAGAAGUAGAUGAAAAUAAAAGUAGCAGAUUGAUUUUUUUCGAUUGUGUGUGUGUUGUAAAUUAGCCACCACCCUUAUAUAUUUAUAGGCGGCUGGUCUUGUCGUAGGAGAGUAGGACUCCUAGUCUGAACACCCGACUAUCAACACGACUUUUCACCCUUCACCAUGUUGUCAGUGAAUCAAUCAACAAUUUGUCGAUGUUCACGCCUUUAGUGAAGUCGUCAGUCAUGGUCACAACAUGAACACAUCAUCCUUCACCAUGUCGUCACUGAAGCCACCAAAAAAUUGUCUUUGUUUUGGGUCGUUAUCAAAGUCACCAGUCUUCGUCAUCAACAUGAACUCAUCAUGUCACCAGCUAAUCCGCAAUCAAAUUGUCUAUACUCACGUCUUUAUCGAAGUCGCCGAUCAGAGACGUCAACACAAACUCGCCAUGCUUCACCAUGUUGCCAGCGAAGCCGCCAAAAAAUUGUCUGUGUUCGUGUCUUCAUUGAAGUUGCCAGUCCUGAUCAUCAACACAAACUCGUCACCGUUCACCACGUCAGCAGUCAAAACCCCAAAAAUUUGUCCGUGUCCGCGUGAUUAUCAAAGUCGCCAGUCUUGGUCGUCAACACGAACUCGUCACCCUUCAUCACAUCGCCAGUCUUGGUGGUCAACAGGAACUCGUCACCCUUCAUCACGUCGCCAGUGAAGCUGCCAAAAAAUUGUCUGUAUUCGAGUAUUCAUCGAAAUCACCUGUCUUGGUCAUCAACACUAACUCAUCGCCCUUCACCAUGUCGCCAGCGAAGCCGCCAAAAAUGUCACCGUGUUCACUUCUUUGUCAAAAUCGCCAGUCAUGGUCACCAACAUGAACUCGUGGCUCUUCACCAUGUCACCAGCGAGGCCGCCAAGUUUAUGUUUGUUUUCACUGUUUCUUAUAUUAUUGUAAUCUGACACCAGUUUAAUGGAAUGCUAAAUUUCUCUACAAACAGUCCAGAUCCGACACACCACACAGUAGGGGAUUAGGGGAUCAUAUCUUGGACCAUAUAGCUGGAUUUGCACUCAUUGGCUACCACACAGUUCAAGAACAUCACUCCAUCUCGGGUCCCUUGCUGCCACUACACGGUCCACCUAUCACCCAGAGAGGAGAGAAAGAAAGUCGGCAACACCGAGUAAGGUGAGGGAGGAGAAACCCACCGUCGCAGAUGAGAUGGUACCCCCGAAGUCUGUCUCACACACACACACACAGAGAGAGAGAGAGAGAGAGAGAGAGAGCGUAAAUGGNNNNNNNNNNNNNNNNNNNNNNNNNNNNNNNNNNNNNNNNNNNNNNNNNNNNNNNNNNNNNNNNNNNNNNNNNNNNNNNNNNNNNNNNNNNNNNNNNNNNNNNNNNNNNNNNNNNNNNNNNNNNNNNNNNNNNNNNNNNNNNNNNNNNNNNNNNNNNNNNNNNNNNNNNNNNNNNNNNNNNNNNNNNNNNNNNNNNNNNNNNNNNNNNNNNNNNNNNNNNNNNNNNNNNNNNNNNNNNNNNNNNNNNNNNNNNNNNNNNNNNNNNNNNNNNNNNNNNNNNNNNNNNNNNNNNNNNNNNNNNNNNNNNNNNNNNNNNNNNNNNNNNNNNNNNNNNNNNNNNNNNNNNNNNNNNNNNNNNNNNNNNNNNNNNNNNNNNNNNNNNNNNNNNNNNNNNNNNNGGGGGGGGUAGUGGUUAGCUGAUCCGCUGAAACCGGCGAAGUCGUGAUUUGUAUCGAGAGUCUAGAAAUGGACACCGGCUAUAUGCUUUCCACUGCUUGUUUUGUACAAAUAUUGUGUUUCUAUAAAAAAGAAAAAGCUGGCGAGAAAAAAGAAAUUAUGGAGGAGGGGCUGGGGUCACUUGUAUGGAAAGGCCGGGUAUAGCUUAGCUGUCGGUGAAUGAGUACCAACAAGGCAGGAUUGGAGCAAGCGGAAAACCAUGAAAGGCGGCAGAUGAGCGCACAGCUAGCAGGACGUAAUCAGUGGAUAACAGCCAACGCACAGCCCAAAACAGUAACGGAUGCACCGCACGCACUCACGACGCCAGCCACCCACACCCACCACCGCUCCCCCCUCCGUCGUCGCCAGCGUAGCUCUUUGUCUCUCUUAUUUCUUUCUCUCGGCGUACGUCGUCGGUACCCAUAUAUAUAUGGAGUUCAGGUAGACGUCAGAGCUCGGAGAGUUCCCUUCCUCGGAUCACCGUGGAUCAAUCCUCUGCCCUUGUCGAGUGCUGCGCAGUCGCCGUCGCCGUCGUUUCCUCUCGCGCUCGCUGACAUCUAUCUGGUCUGGCGGCGGCCUUCGACGUCGAACCAUGCAGAGCCUCUUUGGUCGCAGCAGCAGGUGAAGACGCGAGAACGAAUCUAAUUCCUUCUUCGGUUGCUGUUUUAGUUUCUUGUUUCUUUGGGUUCUUCUUCUCAUGUCUCGUCUGCUUUUCUGGCUCUUGGUUAAUUCUCUACUUGUCAGAGGAUCCUAAAUUUUUGAUUUGGUGUUGGAUUGGCCCGCAGGAACCAGAGGACAUUCAGGCCCAAGAAGAGUGCUCCGGCGAGGGACAAGGUACGUGGCAAGUUGCAGGAUCAAACAUUUUUUAGUGACAAACGUUGGCCAAUUUUUGUAAGAGUUCAUCAAAAGGAUUUUGAAUCUCUUAGAUUAUCUGCCUCUACCUCCCGCUGAAUAACAUGGACUCGAUUCAGUUGGAGGACUGCCUGCUAUGACGAGGAAGAAUUAAUGAUUUGGACUGCCAGCUAUAUAUAGUAAUUUCCCCCCUUUUUUCCAGGUCGAAACCCCCAGCCUCUGCAUAAUUCUGAUGCACACAGCCAGCUAUACAUAUAACUGCAUGCAUUCUGUCAUUAUCCACAUGCUCAAUCCAGAAAAAGAAGCUCAGUUACCAAUCUGAUGGAAAAUAUCAUCAUCAUAUUUUGGACUGUACGUACACAGGGCAUGAAGCUGAAGAGGCACAUCGACGCGACCCUCGGCAGCGGUAACCUGCGAGAGGUGGUCCGCCUGCCUGUCGGAGAGGAUCUCAACGAGUGGCUCGCUGUCAACAGUGAGUUCUUGCACUUUUUUCUUUCUGAAACAGUUGUUGCUUGCCGUUUUAGUUGAUGAGCUGAAAGUUUUGCUAGUUUCUUUUCUGACCACCUCCAUCUCCAGCUGUCGACUUCUUCAACCAAGUGAGCCUCCUGUAUGGCACCCUCAUGGAGUUCUGCACGCCAGCUACCUGCCCCACCAUGUCAGCCGGUCCAAAGUACAUUAAUUCCUUCAAAUCUUCAAAGCAUAUACUCCAUUCGUCUCAUAUUAAUUAUCACUGAAACGGAUGUAUCUAGACGUAUUUCAAUGCUAAAUACAUCUGUUUGAGCGACAACUAAUAUGGGACAACCAAAAGUAUCUUAUAUGCUUCGUGUCACAUUCUGAACUUAAUGAGAAGAAUUCUUCAUCAAACAGGUAUGAGUACAGGUGGGCUGAUGGAGUCAAGAUCAAGAGGCCUAUUGAAGUAUCUGCACCGAAGUAUGUCGAGUACCUGAUGGACUGGAUCGAAGCCCAGCUCGACGAAGAAUCCAUCUUCCCUCAAAAGCUUGGUAACUGAUUAUUAGUUUUGGUGUAAUCGAUGAAGAGUGCUAAAAAUGAUCCGGUCUAAUCAUGCUCUGGUGGAAAACCUGUGGUGCCAACAGGGGCUCCCUUCCCUCCAAACUUCCGGGACGUCGCCAAGACCAUCUUCAAGCGUCUGUUCAGGGUGUAUGCUCACAUAUACCACUCGCAUUUCCAGAUGAUUCUUAAGCUCCAGGAAGAAGCACAUCUCAACACCUGCUUCAAGCACUUCGUGCUCUUCACAUCGGUAACCACCCAACUUUCAUGCCUUCUGUACCAACCUCUCAUGUCUAUCAUGGAAUGCAAAAGAAGGGAGUUGGUUUCCUGGUAGUUUGGUUCCAUGAUUCUGAAUUCUA
rnacentral:lncRNA from 1 species